rnacentral:misc_RNA from 1 species
GCAAACUUGGUCAUUUAGAGGAAGUAAAAGUCGUAACAAGGUUUCCGUAGGUGAACCUGCGGAAGGAUCAUCAUUGAGAUAAUUACACUAACGGUUUGACUCGAGGCUCGUAGCUGCCACGUCUAUGUUGCGUUAACACGCGCAUUUACGCGGCUGGUGCCUGCAUCGUCUCAUUCCUCAUACAAAUCCAUUUUCUUCUGAUACAUUUUUUAAAUAAAAAAUACAACUUUCAACAAUGGAUCUCUUGGCUCCCGCAUCGAUGAAGAACGCAGC